UGGGCGUAAGCGCACGCAGGCGGUCUGUCAAGUCGGAUGUGAAAUCCCCGGGCUCUACCUGGGAACUGCAUUCGAAACUGGCAGGCUAGAGUCUUCUAGAGGGGGGUAGAAUUCCAGGUGUAGCGGUGAAAUGCGUAGAGAUCUGGAGGAAUACCGGUGGCGAAGGCGGCCCCCUGGACAAAGACUGACGCUCAGGUGCGAAAGCGUGGGGAGCAAACAGGAUUAGAUACCCUGGUAGUCCACGCCGUAAACGAUGUCGACUUGGAGGUUGUGCCCUUGAGGCGUGCCUUCCUGACCUAACGCGUUAAGCCGCCCGCCUGGGGA
rnacentral:rRNA from 1 species